rnacentral:rRNA from 1 species
UACCCUGGUAGUCCAUACCGUAAACGAUGAAUGCUAAGUGUUGGAGGGUUUCCCCCUUCAGUGCUGCAGCUAACGCAUUAAGCAUUCCGCCUGGGGAGUACGGCCGCAAGGCUGAAACUCAAAGGAAUUGACGGGGGCCCGCACAAGCGGUGGAGCAUGUGGUUUAAUUCGAAGCUACGCGAAGAACCUUACCAGGUCUUGACAUACUAUGCAAAUCUAAGAGAUUAGACGUUCCCUUCGGGGACAUGGAUACAGGUGGUGCAUGGUUGUCGUCAGCUCGUGUCGUGAGAUGUUGGGUUAAGUCCCGCAACGAGCGCAACCCUUAUUAUCAGUUGCCAGCAUUAAGUUGGGCACUCUGGUGAGACUGCCGGUGACAAACCGGAGGAAGGUGGGGAUGACGUCAAAUCAUCAUGCCCCUUAUGACCUGGGCUACACACGUGCUACAAUGGAUGGUACAACGAGUUGCGAACUCGCGAGAGUAAGCUAAUCUCUUAAAGCCAUUCUCAGUUCUGAUUGUAGGCUGCAACUCGCCUACAUGAAGUCGGAAUCGCUAGUAAUCGCGGAUCAGCAUGCCGCGGUGAAUACGUUCCCGGGCCUUGUACACACCGCCCGUCACACCAUGAGAGUUUGUAACACCCAAAGUCGGUGGGGUAACCUUUAGGAACCAGCCGCCUAAGGUGGGACAGAUGAUUAGGGUGAAGUCGUAACAAGGUAACCA